GAAUAGUCCAAACACAAAUAAAUUAAUUACAUAGAAAACCAAGGGACAAACACACACUGCUUCAGGAACGUUCAGAAAAGGUAAAGACAGGCAGAUCUUAUUAUCAGAAUAGUUCUAGUAGUUCCAGAACAUCAGAGAAUCCUGUUCAGCAAGUUUUCAGCUCAAGUAGUGUAUAUGCAUUCAUAAGAAACUGAAUUACGGAGGAAGUUUGGCUUUCGUCAUCUGAGUAUGGUCCAAACAUUGCUGGGAAGAGUGAAGGAAUCUUCCGUGUUUAAAUCUACUUUGUUGCUUUGGGACACGAAGUGCCUGUUCAUUUUCUCAGACUCUCCAGCUUCUAAUUCCCAUGUAAUAACCAACAAACUGAGUGAAAAGCAUUUCCAGAGAGACAGAGUGGAAUCACAGGUCACAGCAUCUGUCUCUGACCACCUCAUCUCCCUUCUUGCCCCAGAUGACAACAUUGGGAUUGAAACCAUUCAAAUGCAGCCUUCGUGAGAUGGCAGAACCAAGUCUACCUGGCCAUAGAGAACAAGAGAUUUCAUUCUACUUUGGCCUUUGAGGAGAUCUAUUAGAAGAUUUUUCUAAUAUGCUAUUUUAAAAAACAAUAAAAGUGUACCAUCCUGCAUUCCUGCAUCAGAGUUUUUCCUGUAUUCCUGCCAAUUUGGCCUCUACUGAAGACCCAACUGCUUUUCAUUUGUACUAGUUCUUCCAAGUGCAAGGAAAACCUUACUUUUUA